rnacentral:rRNA from 1 species
GAGUUUGAUCGUGGCUCAGAACGAACGCUGGCGGCAGGCUUAACACAUGCAAGUCGAACGCCUGUAGCAAUACAGGAGUGGCGGACGGGUGAGUAACGCGUGGGAACGUGCCCUGAGGUACGGAAUAACUGAGGGAAACUUCAGCUAAUACCGUAUGAGCCCAGCAAUGGGGAAAGAUUUAUCGCCUUGGGAGCGGCCCGCGUCGGAUUAGCUAGUUGGUGGGGUAACGGCCUACCAAGGCUUCGAUCCGUAGCUGGUCUGAGAGGACGAUCAGCCACACUGGGACUGAGACACGGCCCAGACUCCUACGGGAGGCAGCAGUGGGGAAUCUUGCGCAAUGGGGGCAACCCUGACGCAGCCAUGCCGCGUGAACGAUGAAGGCCUUAGGGUUGUAAAGUUCUUUUGCCCGUGACGAUGAUGACGGUAACGGGAGAAUAAGCUCCGGCUAACUUCGUGCCAGCCGCCGCCGUAAG